rnacentral:rRNA from 1 species
GACGUAGGAUGCAAGCGUUGUCCGGAUUUAUUGGGCGUAAAGAGUUCGUAGGUGGUUUGUUAAGUCUGAUGUUAAAGACCGAGGCCCAACCUCGGAACUGCAUUGGAUACUGGCAGACUGGAGUACAGUAGAGGCAAGCGGAAUUCCCAGUGUAGCGGUGAAAUGCGUAGAUAUUGGGAAGAACACCAGUGGCGUAAGCGGCUUGCUGGGCUGUAACUGACACUGAGGAACGAAAGCCAGGGGAGCAAAUGGG